rnacentral:rRNA from 1 species
GACGAACGCUGGCGGCGUGCUUAACACAUGCAAGUCGAACAGAAAGGCCCUGCUUUUGUGGGGUGCUCGAGUGGCGAACGGGUGAGUAACACGUGAGUAACCUGCCCUUGACUUUGGGAUAACUUCAGGAAACUGGGGCUAAUACCGGAUAGGAGCUCCUGCUGCAUGGUGGGGGUUGGAAAGUUUCGGCGGUUGGGGAUGGACUCGCGGCUUAUCAGCUUGUUGGUGGGGUAGUGGAUUACCAAGGCUUUGACGGGUAGCCGGCCUGAGAGGGUGACCGGCCACAUUGGGACUGAGGGACGGCCCAGACGCCUACGGGAGGCAGCAGUGGAGAAUAUUGCACAAUGGGCGGAAGCCUGAUGCAGCAACGCCGCGUGCGGGAUGACGGCCUUCGAGUUGUAAACCGCUUUCGCCGGUGACGAGGCGUGAGUGACGGUAAUGGGUAAAGAAGCACCGGCUAACUACGUG